rnacentral:rRNA from 1 species
UACGUAGGGUGCGAGCGUUGUCCGGAAUUACUGGGCGUAAAGAGCUCGUAGGUGGUUUGUCGCGUUGUUCGUGAAAACUCACAGCUUAACUGUGGGCGUGCGGGCGAUACGGGCAGACUGGAGUACUGCAGGGGAGACUGGAAUUCCUGGUGUAGCGGUGGAAUGCGCAGAUAUCAGGAGGAACACCGGUGGCGAAGGCGGGGUCUCUGGGGCAGUAACUGACGCUGAGGAGCGAAAGCGUGGGGAGCGAACAGG